GCAAGUCGAACGAGAAAGUACCUUCGGGUGUGAGUACAGUGGCGGACGGGUGAGUAACGCGUAGGAAUAUACCUGGUAGUGGGGGACAACUCGGGGAAACUCGAGCUAAUACCGCAUACGCUCUACGGAGGAAAGUGGGGGAUCUUCGGACCUCACGCUAUCAGAGUAGCCUGCGUUGGAUUAGCUAGUUGGUGAGGUAAAGGCUCACCAAGGCGACGAUCCAUAGCUGGUCUGAGAGGAUGGAC
rnacentral:rRNA from 1 species